rnacentral:rRNA from 1 species
AUUGAACGCUGGCGGCAGGCCUAACACAUGCAAGUCGAAUGGUAACAGGAAACAGCUUGCUGUUUCGCUGACGAGUGGCGGACGGGUGAGUAAUGUCUGGGAAACUGCCUGAUGGAGGGGGAUAACUACUGGAAACGGUAGCUAAUACCGCAUAACGUCGCAAGACCAAAGAGGGGGACCUUCGGGCCUCUUGCCAUCAGAUGUGCCCAGAUGGGAUUAGCUAGUAGGUGGGGUAACGGCUCACCUAGGCGGCGAUCCCUAGCUGGUCUGAGAGGAUGACCAGCCACACUGGAACUGAGACACGGUCCAGACUCCUACGGGAGGCAGCAGUGGGGAAUAUUGCACAAUGGGCGCAAGCCUGAUGCAGCCAUGCCGCGUGUAUGAAGAAGGCCUUCGGGUUGUAAAGUACUUUCAGCGGGGAGGAAGGGAGUAAAGUUAAUACCUUUGCUCAUUGACGUUACCCGCAGAAGAAGCACCGGCUAACUCCGUG